GUUAAGCUUCUGCAUUCUGUUUGGGCCUAUGUUUAAAUCUCGAGGUACGUGAUCGUAAACAUUUUUUUUUGCUAAGCGCUAGAAUUUGGUUGGAAGUUAUAAAGAUUUAAAAUUUGUCGUCAUCUUCUAUUCGUUUCUUUCUUUUUGUUGUUCUUUUCUUUCCUUUCCUUUUCUUUUCUCUUUUCGAUUCUUUUAUUUUUCUUUUUCAUUUUGAUCACGGUCAUAAGCAUGGGUCUAGACGAAGUUAUACGUCGUUAAUUGUAUCGAUCAAAAGGUUAUUGAGUAAGUUUCACCAUCAAUUCAGUAAAUUCCGUAGUUUCUUUUAUUGUUUUCGUAGAAUGUUCUAAAUUCGGCAUCUCGAGCAUAUUGUGUAGUUUCUGAUAAUUAGUCGUUUGGUUUCCUCUUAGUCGGGGAUAUCGAGAGUAGCAUACCUCAACUCAACAAUUCAAGUGACCAUUGUUGACCUUCCGGUAAGUUUGAUUUCGUUGGAAGGUUUCGUGUCGAAACCUUCGACAUAAAGUAUUAUGUGUAUAGGUGUGCAUUAUUGUCGAUAAAGUUGGUUGACUGAGUUAUUGGAUGGUCAUUUUAGGCUUCGGAGAUCCUUUACAUUGUUAUUGCUUCGAAAUCUCUUCAAGUGCGUACCGAAAACCUUAAAUUUUGUGAAUUUUAGGCACCGAAAAACAUGGCUGUCGACGCCACAUGGUCGUGUGGUAGGCCGUGUAACACACUACUUACCAAAUUCGAGCCACUUGGGUAGGGGACACGGACGUGUUCCCCCGUCAUGUGUGGGCAUGCUAAUGUAGGGUUCACACGGGCCAAGGACACAGGUGUGUGUGUAGGCCGUGUAUCUCGUUGAGUACAAGAUAAGGACCACCCAGGCCAGAGACACGAGCGUGUGUCCAGGUCAUGUGGCUUACUGUUUGAGAUUUAGGAUCACGCGAGUAGACCACAGGGGCGUGUGUUAGGCCGUGUAAGACACACGGCUGAUCACACGGGCGUGUGCCAGGCCAUGUGGAAUCACACGGGCAUGUGGGUCAGUUUUGGAAGUCAUCUAUGGGGUCGUAAGUGUUGUUAACGCAAAUGUGGGCUGUCUGUAAUGUAUAUGUAUGAUCUGAAUUUGGUCGUAAGAUUGUUAUCUAAUAAUUUGAGAUUGAGAUUCUGAUUAUAUAAAUGUUUACCGAAUCUGAACGACUGUGUGUACAUUUUGACAUGUGUAAUCUGUAACUGCAUUAGGUGGGAAAUCAUGUAAAGAAGGAAGUGACCUAUUCUGAUUCGGUGGCUAGACCACUACUUAUAUGUGAGUUCAGCAUUACUCGCCUAUUGAUCUGGCAGCUAGGCUGCAAACAUUCUGAAAAGUGUCAUAUUGACACUAAGUGGUGUGUAGGGCAUGAGGGGUAUUCUACACCCUAAAUGAUGUAUUGG
rnacentral:lncRNA from 1 species